rnacentral:rRNA from 1 species
UACGUAGGGACCGAGCGUUGUCCGGAAUCAUUGGGCGUAAAGAGCUCGUAGGCGGCUUGUCGCGUCGGCUGUGAAAACCCGCGGCUCAACUGUGGGCGGGCAGCUGAUACGGGCAGGCUGGAGUUCGGUAGGGGAGACUGGAAUUCCUGGUGUAGCGGUGAAAUGCGCAGAUAUCAGGAGGAACACCGGUGGCGAAGGCGGGUCUCUGGGCCGAUACUGACGCUGAGGAGCGAAAGCGUGGGGAGCGAACAGG